UUAAUAGCCGUGGUAUUUUGACCAUGCUAAGGUAGCAUAAUCAUUUGAUUUUUAAUUAGGAUCUCGCAUGAAGGGUUGAACGAGGGCUUUUCUGUAUCGCUUUGUUUUAAUAAAAAUUAUUUUUUAAGUGAAGAAACUUGAGUAAAAAAAAAGGACAAGAAGACCCUGUCGAGCUUUUAUUAGGAACAUUAGAUUGGUAGUGUUAUUUAUUUUAGUUGGGGUAACUGAGGAAAUAACUUCUUUUAGUUAAUGACGGGUAGGUGUAGAAGGUAAAGAAUUUUUUAUAAUAGAGUAAGUUACCGCAGGGAUAACAGCGUAAUUUUUUUUGAGAGUUCUUAUUGGAAGAAAAGAUUGCGACCUCGAUGUUGGAUUAAAACGUCCUUGAGGUGUAGAAGAUUCAAAGGGUUGGUCUGUUCGACCAUUAAAGUUUUAC
rnacentral:rRNA from 1 species